AGUGAACGCUGGCGGUAGGCCUAACACAUGCAAGUCGAACGGCAGCACAGUAAGAGCUUGCUCUUACGGGUGGCGAGUGGCGGACGGGUGAGGAACACAUCGGAAUCUACUUUUUCGUGGGGGAUAACGUAGGGAAACUUACGCUAAUACCGCAUACGACCUACGGGUGAAAGCAGGGGAUCUUCGGACCUUGCGCGAUUGAAUGAGCCGAUGUCGGAUUAGCUAGUUGGCGGGGUAAAGGCCCACCAAGGCGACGAUCCGUAGCUGGUCUGAGGGGAUGAUCAGCCACACUGGAACUGAGACACGGUCCAGACUCCUACGGGAGGCAGCAGUGGGGAAUAUUGGACAAUGGGCGCAAGCCUGAUCCAGCCAUACCGCGUGGGUGAAGAAGGCCUUCGGGUUGUAAAGCCCUUUUGUUGGGAAAGAAAAGCAGCAGGUUAAUACCCCGCUGUUCUGACGGUACCCAAAGAAUAAGCACCGGCUAACUUCGUG
rnacentral:rRNA from 1 species